AGAUAAUUAAUUUAAUGACAAAAUAUUUAAUUUACAUUUAAAAAACAAUGGUUUGAUUCCGUUAUUAUCUAU
rnacentral:tRNA from 1 species